GUUGCGACGUGCGACUGGCGCGAGAAGGUGGAGCACCACCGGGGAGCGACUAUCGCGGACACCGUGCGCCUGGGUGUCCGUC
rfam:Amycolatopsis halophila YIM 93223 genomic scaffold AmyhaDRAFT_Scaffold1.1, whole genome shotgun sequence.